rnacentral:rRNA from 1 species
GGACGCUAGCUACAGGCUUAACACAUGCAAGUCGAGGGGCAGCAUGGUCUUAGCUUGCUAAGGCCGAUGGCGACCGGCGCACGGGUGAGUAACACGUAUCCAACCUGCCGUCUACUCUUGGACAGCCUUCUGAAAGGAAGAUUAAUACAAGAUGGCAUCAUGAGUCCGCAUGUUCACAUGAUUAAAGGUAUUCCGGUAGACGAUGGGGAUGCGUUCCAUUAGAUAGUAGGCGGGGUAACGGCCCACCUAGUCUUCGAUGGAUAGGGGUUCUGAGAGGAAGGUCCCCCACAUUGGAACUGAGACACGGUCCAAACUCCUACGGGAGGCAGCAGUGAGGAAUAUUGGUCAAUGGGCGAGAGCCUGAACCAGCCAAGUAGCGUGAAGGAUGACUGCCCUAUGGGUUGUAAACUUCUUUUAUAAAGGAAUAAAGUCGGGUAUGGAUACCCGUUUGCAUGUACUUUAUGAAUAAGGAUCGGCUAACUCCGUGCCAGCAGCCGCGGUAAUACGGAGGAUCCGAGCGUUAUCCGGAUUUAUUGGGUUUAAAGGGAGCGUAGAUGGAUGUUUAAGUCAGUUGUGAAAGCUUGCGGCUCAACCGUAAAAUUGCAGUUGAUACUGGAUAUCUUGAGUGCAGUUGAGGCAGGCGGAAUUCGUGGUGUAGCGGUGAAAUGCUUAGAUAUCACGAAGAACUCCGAUUGCGAAGGCAGCCUGCUAAGCUGCAACUGACAUUGAGGCUCGAAAGUGUGGGUAUCAAACAGGAUUAGAUACCCUGGUAGUCCACACGGUAAACGAUGAAUACUCGCUGUUUGCGAUAUACAGCAAGCGGCCAAGCGAAAGCGUUAAGUAUUCCACCUGGGGAAUACGCCGGCAACGGUGAAACUCAAAGGAAUUGACGGGGGCCCGCACAAGCGGAGGAACAUGUGGUUUAAUUCGAUGAUACGCGAGGAACCUUACCCGGGCUUAAAUUGCAGAUGAAUUACGGUGAAAGCCGUAAGCCGCAAGGCAUCUGUGAAGGUGCUGCAUGGUUGUCGUCAGCUCGUGCCGUGAGGUGUCGGCUUAAGUGCCAUAACGAGCGCAACCCUUGUUGUCAGUUACUAACAGGUCAUGCUGAGGACUCUGACAAGACUGCCAUCGUAAGAUGUGAGGAAGGUGGGGAUGACGUCAAAUCAGCACGGCCCUUACGUCCGGGGCUACACACGUGUUACAAUGGGGGGUACAGAGGGCCGCUACCACGCGAGUGGAUGCCAAUCCCAAAAACCUCUCUCAGUUCGGACUGGAGUCUGCAACCCGACUCCACGAAGCUGGAUUCGCUAGUAAUCGCGCAUCAGCCACGGCGCGGUGAAUACGUUCCCGGGCCUUGUACACACCGCCCGUCAAGCCAUGGGAGCCGGGGGUACCUGAAGUGCGUAACCGCGAGGAGCGCCCUAGGGUAAAACUGGUGACUGGGGCUAAG